rnacentral:rRNA from 1 species
CCUACGGGAGGCAGCAGUGGGGAAUAUUGCACAAUGGGGGAAACCCUGAUGCAGCGACACCGCGUGAGUGAAGAAGUACUUCGUUAUGUAAAGCUCUAUCAGCAGGGAAGAAAAUGACGGUACCUGAGUAAGAAGCCCCGGCUAACUACGUGCCAGCAGCCGCGGUAAUACGUAGGGGGCAAGCGUUAUCCGGAUUUACUGGGUGGAAAGGGAGCGUAGACGGCAGUGCAAGUCUGGAGUGAAAGGCGGGGGCUCAACCCCCGGACUGCUCUGGAAACUGUACGGCUGGAGUGCAGGAGAGGUAAGUGGAAUUCCUAGUGUAGCGGUGAAAUGCGUAGAUAUUAGGAGGAACACCAGUGGCGAAGGCGGCUUACUGGACUGUAACUGACGUUGAGGCUCGAAAGCGUGGGGAGCAAACAGGAUUAGAUACCCUUGUAGUC